rnacentral:lncRNA from 1 species
UUUUUUUUUUUUUUUUCUUUUUUUCUUUCACAGCUGUGGCACAUGGAAGUUCCAGGGCUAGGGAUUGAACUGUAACUGCAGCUACCUACAUUGCAGCCACAGCAAUGCAGGAUCUGAGCCGCAUCUGUGACCUAUGCCACAGCUUGUGGCAAUGCCAGAUCGUUAACCCAUUAGCAAGGCCAGGGAUCGAACCUUCGUCCUCACAGACAUUAUGCUGGGUUCUUAACCCACUGGGCUGCAACAGGAACUCCCUAUCUGGGUCUUAAAUCCCUGUUCUUACCAUAUACCACACUGCCUUUCAAAAGGAAAAACUGGUUUCUUUUCUUUUUUCUUUUUUUUUUUUUUUUUUUUUUUUAGGGCUGCACCUGCAGCAUAUGGAAAAAAGAUAAAAAAGAUUUAAGAUAUGGGAUCAGGAGGACUUGGUGAUAGAUGCAGAGAGAGAGAGAACUACUUUGAGGGUGAAUUUCAGUCAUAUCUGUCUUGGGAAAUCAGAUGAUGUGUGAAAUGGGGAAUUCUGGAGCAAGAUGAGGUUUGGUGGGAUGGAGAGGCUUCUAACUUUGGCCUUGAACAUGUUGACUUGAGGUGCCUUUGGGAUUUCCAAAUGGUGCAGCUGAGCAGACAGCUGGAUAGACAGGUCUAAGACUGAGGAGGAACAUGGCCUGGAGAUAUAAAUGGAGGCGUCUUGGGGCAUCAAGAAGCUGUGAGUUGGGAAGAGGUCCCCUAGGGGGCAAAUAUAACUUGAAAAGUGGAUGGAUCAGGGAUCAAGCAGUGUAGAAUGCCAGCACUCAGAGGUACCAGCGUGUUUCAGGAGAAACACCUGAAAACAGCAGUAAGAAGGAAAAACACUAGGAGGUCCCAAGGUUGAGGUUGUGGCUCAACAGGUUAUGAACCCAACUAGCAUCCAUGAGGACGUGGGUUCAAUCCCUGCCUUGUUCAGUGGGUUGAGGAUCUGGCGUUGCUCUGAGCUGUGCUGUAGGUUGCAGAUGUGGCUUGGAUCCCAUGUUGCUGUGCCUGUGGCACAUGGGGAUUUGACCCCUAGACUGAGAACUUCCAAAUAUGCCUCAGGUGCAGCUAUUAAAAAAAAAAAAGAAGGAAGGACCCUAAUAUAAGAAAGGAAAUAUAUAUAUGUAUGUAUGACUGGGUUACUUUGCUGUACAGCAGAAAUUGGUUCAGUGCAAAUCAACUAUACUUUAAAUUAAAAAAAAAAAAGAAGAAGAAGGAAGGACCAGAAAGGCAGGAUGGAAACCAGAAAAAGAAUGGCAUUAAGGAAGCCAAGGGGAGGAAGGUUUCAUACCUUUAGAAAGGAGGGCGUGAGCAGCACUGCAAAGCUGUUGUGCUAUCAAGUAUGAUGAGAACUAUUGCUAUAAAACUCGCAAAAAGAUCUAGUGACACAGAACAACAUGGAAAUCAUGGAUGACCUCAGCAGGAGACAGGGGUGUGGACUGAUGGGGGCAAGGGCCCCCCCCCAGGACCAACUAAUGUUGUCUCCUAACAGGCAGGAGAGCAUCACAGUUGAGGAUGCAGGCUCUGGAGACAGACCAUCAAGGCUGAUGGUCUGGCUCCCUUACUCAGCGAUAGACCUAAAGGACAGUACUUAAUUUCUCUGGGGCUCGUCUGCAAAAGGUGAGUAAUAAUACCCACCUACUGGAUGGUUGGGGGGCUAAUAAAUAUAAACCACGUAGUACAGUGCCUGACAUAUUCGUUUUGCUUAAUAAAUGCUCAUCUUUUAUUAUUACUGCCACUCUCCUAACCAACUGAGUUGAUAUUUAUUGAGCAUCUGUCAGGCACUGUACUCGACUCUGGGAAAGAACAAUGUAAAGUUAUUACUGGUCCUCAUGGAAAUAAGCAAAAAGCUUCAGGAUGAAAUGUUUUCUGUUAAAUUGUGAUGAAUGCUAAGGCGAAAAAUACAGCAGGAAAGGGGGCUAGAGCAGUGGUCUAGAUGACCAUUUUUUAACAUCUGUCAAGAGAGGCCCAAGAGAGACAGUGGCGUUUGAGCAAAAACCUAAGAAAGCAAUGUAGUGAUUUAGGGACGAGCAUUUCAGGUUGGAGGAAAGGAAGAUACAAAGAUCCUGGGGGUAGGAGGAUGGGGAGGGAAGGCCUUGCGGUUGGGGCAGAGCCAGGGAGGAGGAGAGAGCAGGAAACAAAGUCAGAGACAGAAGUGGUUAUGAUGUGCUCUUUAGGCCCUGAUAAGGUCUGUGAACAGUGAUAGACAGAACACGGAGGGAGAACACGAGAGAAAAGAAUAAAGUCACUCAUGUCCAUCUAAGCAGGAGAGUAAAAGGAUAUUACGUUCAAUCAAAUCAUGGGGAGAGGAGAGAAGAGGAAGCAAGAGUCACCUGGAAUUUCAGUAUUUUUUCCCCCAUUUACCAAGAUGUAAUCAACAUACAGCACGGUGUACAUUUAGGGGUGCAGCAUGAUGACCUGACUCACACAUAAACAAAUCCCUGUCAUCUCACAGAGAUAACAAAAAAAGGAAAAACAGUCUUUUCCUUGUGAUGAGAACUCUUAGGACUUACUCUCUUAACCAAUUUUAGCGACACCAGCUGGAAGUGUUAACAGAGAGUCAUCACAUUGUAAGUUCAUCCUGGGAUUUAUUUAAAUCUUAUAAAUAGACAGUUUGUAACUUCUGACCAUCUUCAUUCAAUGCCCCCAUCUGCCACCUCCCA